rnacentral:rRNA from 1 species
UACGGGGGGAGCAAGCGUUGUUCGGAUUUACUGGGCGUAAAGGGCGCGUAGGCGGCCACCGCAAGUCGACUGUGAAAUCUCCGGGCUUAACCCGGAAAGGUCAGCCGAUACUGCGGGGCUAGAGUGCAGAAGGGGCAACUGGAAUUCUCGGUGUAGCGGUGAAAUGCGUAGAGAUGUGGAGGAAUACCGAUGGCGAAGGCGGGUCUCUGGGCCGAUACUGACACUGAGGAGCGAAAGCGUGGGGAGCGGAACAGG